GCUUGGCUAAUGCAGGGAGCCCAUGUAUGAUAGCCAAACAAAAUUAUAGCACUUUGGAAUUGUGCGUUACAAUACAUGAAAAACAAUUAUAGUACAUGCUCAUGCCUUCAUCGAAGACAUUCUCGUGCCACUUAGUUUUUUUAGGAGAGAUUGAAAGCACUAAGAAUAUUUUUCACAAAGUUUAGUACUUAAAACUUCCUAUUGAUAAAUUUCAGCAAUCUUGGUAACA
rnacentral:lncRNA from 1 species